rnacentral:rRNA from 1 species
UACGAAGGGGGCUAGCGUUGCUCGGAAUGACUGGGCGUAAAGGGCGCGUAGGCGGAUGGUACAGUCAGAUGUGAAAUUCCCGGGCUCAACCUGGGGGCUGCAUUUGAUACGUGCUGUCUUGAGUUCGGAAGAGGGUCGUGGAAUUCCCAGUGUAGAGGUGAAAUUCGUAGAUAUUGGGAAGAACACCAGUGGCGAAGGCGACAUACUGGCUCAUUACUGACGCUGAGGCUCGAAAGCGUGGGGGAGCAAACAGG